rnacentral:snRNA from 1 species
AUGCUCACUUUGGCAGCACAUAUACUAAAAUUGGAAUGAUACAGAGAAGUUUAGCACAGUCCAUGUGCAAGCAUAACGCGCACAUUCGUGAAGGGAUUCUCCUAUCU